CUUGAAGCAAUGGGAUCGAGAACUACUUCCUUUUGAUAACUCUCCUAUAGCUCUUUUUUCUUUAUCUUCUUUUCUCCUAAUAGGAUUUGUAAGUGGAGGUCCGUUACUAGGAGUUUGAUUAAUAUUAGGUCUCGAUCUAGAAGGGAUUACUCGGUUGGGUUCAGGACGACGGAGAGUCGAAUAUCUAGAAAAUCUCUCAAAAUCUAAGGCAAGUUGAUAAGCUUGUUCCAACGUGGUUACCUCUCGCAGAAAGAGCUCACGCUGAAUAUCCUUUCGUAAUCCAGCUCUAAAUCUAGAUAAGGUAACAACCCUAUCUUCGGCUACUCCACAUCUCAUGAGGUAUUCAUCAAACCUCGUGAUAUACUCGGUGACUGAUCUAUUCCCUUGAGUAAGCCUCUGUCAUUGAUCUAAAAGUCUUUGUUGAUAAGAGG
rnacentral:lncRNA from 1 species